rnacentral:rRNA from 1 species
AGUUAUUUGAAAAUUUAAAUAAUAAUACCUGCUCAAUGAGAAAUUAAAUAGCCGCGGUAUUUAUAACUGUGCAAAGGUAGCAUAAUCAUUUGUUUUAUAAAUUAAGACUAGAAUGAAUGGUAAAAUGAAGUAGAACUUUUUUAUAUUAAUAAUUAAAAAUAAUCUUUUUAGUGAAGAGACUAAAGUAAAAAUGUAAGACGAAAAGACCCUAUUAAGUUUUAUAUAUUUAUUUUGUUGGGGAAACAAAAGAAAAAUUUUUCUUUAUAUAAAAAAAAUGAUAAUUUAUGAUAAAAUAUUAUUGAUUAAUAGAAUAAAUUACUAUAGGGAUAACAGCAUAAUAUUUUUUUAGAGUUCUUAUCAACAAAAAUGUUUAUGACCUCGAUGUUGGAUUAAAAUAAUUGUAUAGGUGAAGAUGUUAUAGAAAUUAGUCUGUUCGACUAUUAAAAUUUUACA